AUUGAACGCUGGCGGCAGGCCUAACACAUGCAAGUCGAACGGUAACAGGGAUCAGCUUGCUGAUUCGCUGACGAGUGGCGGACGGGUGAGUAAUGUCUGGGAAACUGCCUGAUGGAGGGGGAUAACUACUGGAAACGGUAGCUAAUACCGCAUAACGUCGCAAGACCAAAGAGGGGGACCUUCGGGCCUCUUGCCAUCGGAUGUGCCCAGAUGGGAUUAGCUAGUAGGUGGGGUAACGGCUCACCUAGGCGACGAUCCCUAGCUGGUCUGAGAGGAUGACCGGCCACACUGGAACUGAGACACGGUCCAGACUCCUACGGGAGGCAGCAGUGGGGAAUAUUGCACAAUGGGCGCAAGCCUGAUGCAGCCAUGCCGCGUGUAUGAAGAAGGCCUUCGGGUUGUAAAGUACUUUCAGCGGGGAGGAAGGGAGUAAAGUUAAUACCUUUGCUCAUUGACGUUACCCGCAGAAGAAGCACCGGCUAACUCCGUG
rnacentral:rRNA from 1 species